AGAGGGAGGGUAGAUGGGUGAUGUACGGAUCCCAGCCAAGCUCAGGGCAUGGUGCUUUCCCCCCACUCCGGAACAGCCAGCUUGGAAGACAACCAGUGCCAGCUGACAGUCCCAGCCGCUGGGAGAAGCGGGGGGGGGGGGGGGGUAGAUUUCCCUGAUGAUGAGGGAAGAGUAAGAGGGAGGGGAUCAGAGAUAGGGAGGAGAAAUUAAUCAGCUUGCUUUGCCUUGUCAUCAGUUCUGUACUAACAAGAAGGGGUGGGGGGAAAGCACUGCUUUAAAUUGGGGGAGGGGGGAGGAAGCCUGUACCCAGCUCCUCUCUCCCCAGUCACUUUGCAUGUGGCCACAGAGCCCUCUCUGUCUUGGACUGGACUCCACACAAGGAUGUAGUUCUCUCGGCGAUCAGUCUGUUAAACCAUCUUUCUGCUCUGCCUCUCCCAGAUACUUCAGAGAUCAGGGCCCCUUGUGCAAGGUGCUGUACAAUACGUAGAGAGACACAGUAGCUCUACUGAAGAGUUUACAGACUAAAUUGGCAAGACAGACCAAGGAGGGAAGUGACUUGCACAGGAUCAUGCACAGGUGUUAUACAGCCCUUCCCAGCAGUAGAGCUGGCGCUGAGGGAACUCAAGGCGGUGGGCUCAUCUUGCCUCUCACAGCAAGCAAGCGGAGAAACCGGUUUUCCUGGCGGCCAGGAACUGUUUCUCACCCUGGACCUGGAGUCAGUACUCCCCGAACCCACCCAAGGCUGCCUCCCGGACCCGCC